rnacentral:rRNA from 1 species
AGUCUUUCUGCCCAUUGAAAUUAAAAGGCUGCGGUAUUUUAACUGUACAAAGGUAGCAAAAUCAAUAGUUUUUUAAUUGAAAACUUGAAUGAAUGAGUUAAUAAGAUAUUAAUUGUCUCAAUAGUUAAAUUUAAAUUAAAAGUUAAAAUGCUUUUAUAAAUUUAUUAGACGAUAAGACCCUAAGAAUUUAAUUAUAAAUUAUAAUUGAAAAAAAUAUUAAUAAUUGAAUAAUUUUAUUGGGAGGAUAAUUAAAUUAAACUUUAAUUUGAAUAAAUAUUGAUAAAUAAAUUUAAUGAUUAAUAUAAAGAUUAAAAGAAUAAAUUACCUUAGGGAUAACAGCGUAAUAAUUUUGGAGAGUUCAUAUUGAUAAAAUUGUUUACGACCUCGAUGUUGAAUUAAAAUAAAAAUUAAAUGGAGAAAUUUAAAUUUUUAGUCUGUUCGACUAUUAAAAUUUUAC